CGCUCUCCUUUCAGGAAAUGGAAUUCUAAUGUACACGUUCCUAUUUCUGAAUCGGAGUGGGAAUCCGCGUGGGAUCAGCGCCCAGACGCCGCCGCCCUAGCCCUUGCGGUGGCAAGGCUGCGUGGAAGCCCACUCCCCGGCCCCGCGCCACAUUUCCUUCUGGCGCUGGGGAACAUUGUUCCAGAAAACGUGGGCUGAAUCGCGGUGCGAAUAUUAGGGGCGGGAGGAGAAGGCCCGGCGCGCCGAGCCAGUAAUCCGAGCUCUUGAUUAUCCAGAUUCGGAUCAAACGGGGCGGCGGCGGCCGGCCCCCUCCUGGGAAUGAUUAGAUGAUUAAUGUAAUGCUGUUUGAAGGGUCUCUGUUUUCUCUCUUAAUUUGGGUCAUUACUUAGAAAGCAAGCGUGAGAUCAUUUCAUCAGCGUGCUCGGCGGCGGAGAUAGCUAUUCAGGAAAUGGGCUAACUGAGCGGUAAUCAGGACGCUGGGGGCGGCGGCGGCUGCGAGCCGCAGGAGCCCGGAUGCGCCCUCCCGCGGCAGGGCGCACCGCACCCGGAGGCCGGCCUCAGACCACAGCGCGGGCCGCGGAGCCCUAAAGCUCGGAAUGCGCUGGGACACUUGGCCCCCAGUUCUCGCCGCCAGGAAUGACUGAGUGGAAGAGUGGCUCCCCUUACAUCACCCAGACAAGAGGGAAUGCCCAGAAAGCGCCCCGGCGCGGCAGUGCCCAUGCCAUCUACCCCACUGUGGUGGGGCUCUUUGCUCUAGGACACGCAUCCCAAACCUGCUCUCCAACACCUAGCCACUUUGAAUCCCUUCUUUUUAAAAAACUCACCCAAAUAUGGCAACACCCAGAAUCCCUUGGUCAGAACAGUUAGCAAAUAAAAACUUGGUACAACGUGAGGGCCGUUGUAGGCCUUUACAUCCUUGGUUCCUGGGGGGAUCUGAACACGUUAGCGUGGCAGGAGGACCGAUCUGGCCUCACCCUGGUUCCAGUGCCCUCAGAAAACGUCGCAUGUGCGC
ensembl:lncRNA